rnacentral:rRNA from 1 species
GACGGAGGAUGCAAGUGUUAUCCGGAAUCACUGGGCGUAAAGCGUCUGUAGGUGGUUUAAUAAGUCAACUGUUAAAUCUUGAGGCUCAACCUCAAAAUCGCAGUCGAAACUAUUAGGCUAGAGUAUAGUAGGGGUAAAGGGAAUUUCCAGUUGGAGCGGUGAAAUGCGUAGAGAUUGGAAAGAACACCGAUGGCGAAGGCACUUUACUGGGCUAUUACUAACACUCAGAGACGAAAGCUAGGGUAGCAAAUGGG